rnacentral:rRNA from 1 species
GAUGAACGCUGGCGGCGUGCCUAAUACAUGCCAGUCGAGCGAACGGACGAGAAGCUUGCUUCUCUGAUGUUAGCGGCGGACGGGUGAGUAACGCGUGGAUCACCUACCUAUAAGACUGGGAUAACUUCGGGAAACCGGAGCUAAUACCGGAUGAUAUUUUGAACCGCAUGGUUCAAAAGUGAAAGACGGUCUUGCUGUCACUUAUAGAUGGAUCCGCGCUGCAUUAGCUAGUUGGUAAGGUAACGGCUUACCAAGGCAACGAUGCAUAGCCGACCUGAGAGGGUGAUCGGCCACACUGGAACUGAGACACGGUCCAGACUCCUACGGGAGGCAGCAGUAGGGAAUCUUCCGCAAUGGGCGAAAGCCUGACGGAGCAACGCCGCGUGAGUGAUGAAGGUCUUCGGAUCGUAAAACUCUGUUAUUAGGGAAGAACAGAUGUGUAAGUAACUGUGCACAUCUUGACGGUACCUAAUCAGAAAGCCACGGCUAACUACGUG